AUUCAUAGAGGAAGAAAUAACAAGGAUAGAGAAAAUAUCUUAGUGAUGUGGAAUUGUACUGUCAUGCUAAUACUAACAUCUCUGCAGUGACUUGUGGACCAAACAGGGUUCUCGGUCGCAAUGACUUGUUGUAAUAUCAAAUACAAAGCACUUGCAAGAAAAAACGGCAGAGAGAAGAACAAGAGAUUUUUUUUCUCAAACAGUCGCCGGCCAAGCCCCUCACCGCUGCUCUCAGCGUGUGUCAACAGACAUGUAGCAGGUUGCAGGUCUAACCAGUCAGAGAAAACCAUUCAAAUAGGUUCAACAUGACACAAUGUUGGCGAUGCCGCUCACAAACACUUAAACACGACAUCGACGAAUGAAUAGGCUCCAUUUGAAGGCUGAUUAACUCCGCGCACAGAGCAGGAAGUGGCAGGUUCCCGCUCUCCUCACUCCUCCGAUGAACACAGCUCUGUGUAUCCCCAACCUUAAUUAUUCAUGUCCCACUUACUCCUGACAAAUUAUUCAGAGCUUACUCCAA